GAUGAACGCUGGCGGCGUGCCUAAUACAUGCAAGUCGAGCGAACAGACGAGGAUCUUGCUCCUCUGACGUUAGCGGCGGACGGGUGAGUAACACGUGGAUAACCUACCUAUAAGACUGGGAUAACUUCGGGAAACCGGAGCUAAUACCGUAUAAUAUAUUGAACCGCAUGGUUCAAUAGUGAAAGACGGUUUUGCUGUCACUUAUAGAUGGAUCCGCGCCGCAUUAGGUGGUUGGUAAGUUAACGGCUUUCCAAGGGAACGAUGCGUAGCCGACCUGAGGGGGAGAUCGGGCAAACGUGAAGCUGGACAAGGGCCAGGAGUCUAAGGGAGGGAGGAGGAGGGAAUAUUCCGGAAUUGGGGGAAGCCUGACGGAGCAAAGGCGGGUGAGGUAUGAAGGUCUUCGGAUCGUAAAACUCUGUUAUUAGGGAAGAACAAAUGUGUAAGUAACUAUGCACGUCUUGACGGUACCUAAUCAGAAAGCCACGGCUAACUACGUG
rnacentral:rRNA from 1 species